rnacentral:rRNA from 1 species
UACGAACUGUGCAAACGUUAUUCGGAAUCACUGGGCUUAAAGGGUGCGUAGGCGGCUCGUUAGGUAGGGUGUGAAAGCCCCCGGCUCAACCGGGGAAUUGCGCCCUAAACCGGCGGGCUGGAGUGAGACAGGGGUGUGCGGAACUUCCGGUGGAGCGGUGAAAUGUGUUGAUAUCGGAAGGAACGCCGGUGGCGAAAGCGGCACACUGGGUCUCAACUGACGCUGAGGCACGAAAGCCAGGGGAGCAAACGGG